GGUGUUGUGGCUCAGUGGUAGAGUGCUUGCCUGGCAUGCAUGAGGCACUGGGUUCAAUCCUCAGCACCACAU
rnacentral:tRNA from 1 species